GAUGACCGCUAGCUACAGGCUUAACACAUGCAAGUCGAGGGACCGGCGCACGGGUGAGUAACACGUAUCCAACCUGCCCUUUACUCGGGGAUCGCCUUUCGAAAGAAAGAUUAAUACCCGAUAUCAAGGAUGGGGAUGCGUUCCAUUAGGUUGUUGGUGAGGUAACGGCCAACCAAGACUUCGACGGAUAGGGGUUCUGAGAGGAAGGUCCCCUACAUCUGAACUGAGGCACCGUCCAAACUCCUACGGCAGGCAGCAGUGAGGAAUAUUGGUCAAUGGGCGUUAGCCCGAACCAGCCAAGUAUAGUGAAGGAUGAAUGCUUAUGGGUCGUAAACUUCUUUUAUAUAAGAAUAUGUAUUAUAUGAAUAAGGAUCGGCUAACUCCGUGCCAGCAGCCGCGGUAAUUC
rnacentral:rRNA from 1 species